GGCCCAGACUUCUACGGGAGGCAGCAGUAGGGAAUCUUCCACAAUGGACGAAAGUUUGAUGGAGCAACGCCGCGUGAGUGAAGAAGGUCUUCGGAUCGUAAAACUCUGUUGUUGGAGAAGAAUGUAUCUGAUAGUAACUGAUCAGGUAGUGACGGUAUCCAACCAGAAAGCCACGGCUAACUACGUGCCAGCAGCCGCGGUAAUACGUAGGUGGCAAGCGUUGUCCGGAUUUAUUGGGCGUAAAGCGAGCGCAGGCGGUUUCUUAAGUCUGAUGUGAAAGCCUUCGGCUCAACCGAAGAAGUGCAUCGGAAACUGGGAAACUUGAGUGCAGAAGAGGACAGUGGAACUCCAUGUGUAGCGGUGAAAUGCGUAGAUAUAUGGAAGAACACCAGUGGCGAAGGCGGCUGUCUGGUCUGUAACUGACGCUGAGGCUCGAAAGCAUGGGUAGCAAACAGGAUUAGAUACCCUGGUAGUCCAUGCCGUAAACGAUGAGUGCUAGGUGUUGGAGGGUUUCCGCCCUUCAGUGCCGCAGCUAACGCAUUAAGCACUCCGCCUGGGGAGUACGACCGCAAGGUUGAAACUCAAAGGAAUUGACGGGGGCCCGCACAAGCGGUGGAGCAUGUGGUUUAAUUCGAAGCAACGCGAAGAACCUUACCAGGUCUUGACAUCCUUUGACCACUCUAGAGAUAGAGCUUUCCCUUCGGGGACAAAGUGACAGGUGGUGCAUGGUUGUCGUCAGCUCGUGUCGUGAGAUGUUGGGUUAAGUCCCGCAACGAGCGCAACCCUUAUUACUAGUUGCCAGCAUUUAGUUGGGCACUCUAGUGAGACUGCCGGUGACAAACCGGAGGAAGGUGGGGACGACGUCAAAUCAUCAUGCCCCUUAUGACCUGGGCUACACACGUGCUACAAUGGAUGGUACAACGAGUUGCGAGACCGCGAGGUUUAGCUAAUCUCUUAAAACCAUUCUCAGUUCGGAUUGUAGGCUGCAACUCGCCUACAUGAAGCCGGAAUCGCUAGUAAUCGCGGAUCAGCAUGCCGCGGUGAAUACGUUCCCGGGCCUUGUACACACCGCCCGUCACACCAUGAGAGUUUGUAACACCCAAAGCCGGUGAGGUAACCCUUCGGGGAGCCAGCCGUCUAAG
rnacentral:rRNA from 1 species